UACGUAGGGCGCAAGCGUUAUCCGGAAUUAUUGGGCGUAAAGAGCUCGUAGGCGGUCUGUCGCGUCGGAUGUGAAAUUCCAGGGCUCAACCCUGGACCUGCAUUCGAUACGGGCGGACUAGAGUUCGGUAGGGGAGACUGGAAUUCCUGGUGUAGCGGUGAAAUGCGCAGAUAUCAGGAGGAACACCGGUGGCGAAGGCGGGUCUCUGGGACGGUACUGACGCUGACAGCGCGAAAGCUAGGGGAGCGAAACGGG
rnacentral:rRNA from 1 species